rnacentral:tRNA from 1 species
GGGCCCGUGGCCUAGGAUGGAUAAGGCGCUGGCCUCCGAAGCCGGAGACCGUGGGUUCAAAUCCCACCGGGCCCGCCA